AAACAAACAUUUGGUGAAGCAAAGAAAAAGAGUUAAAAGAAUAAGAGAGCAAGAGAACCGACAGAAAAAAGAGGGGAAGAAGAGGGCUCCGUGAGACAUCAAAAUUCAAGUCAAAAUUGUGGAAAAAUCAUCUUAAGUUUAUUGUAUAUAUGUUGGUGGUCAAGCACCGGAGCAAAGUUAGUGGCGUCAGCCUAAUUUCGUUUUGUCAAGCCAACCUAUUGUGCCUCACCACGAGGUUCGAAACCGCUAUUGUCAAGGCUUUGUUUUGGGUGGUCUAAACCCACAUCUUUUGAAUGAAUGCCAUAUGGAGUCAAGUGAAUGUUUUAUAAGUUGUUUUGGCUUUGGGAUUUAAUUCCCCAACAUGUUUUUUAUUUUGUACUGAGACGUGUUUUGGACUUCAGUUUUAACAUAUAUAUUAAAUAUGGACUUACACUUA